rnacentral:rRNA from 1 species
UACGUAGGGUGCGAGCGUUAAUCGGAAUUACUGGGCGUAAAGCGUGCGCAGGCGGUUUCGCAAGUCAGAUGUGAAAGCCCCGGGCUCAACCUGGGAAUUGCAUUUGAAACUACGAGGCUAGAGUGUGUCAGAGGGGGGUAGAAUUCCCGGUGUAGCAGUGAAAUGCGUAGAGAUCGGGAGGAACAUCCGUGGCGAAGGCGACUACCUGGACCAGCACUGACACUGAGGCACGAAAGCGUGGGGAGCAAACAGG